rnacentral:lncRNA from 1 species
CGCGGCAGGACAAGACCAUGCCUCAAGCUCCCCGCUAGGCGGAAGCAGAAGGGGGUAGCAGACCCCCUAAGUGUACCACUUCGGGGGGGGGGGGAGUCCCUGUAUCGACUCCGCUCAGAUGGGGGGGUUGUCUGCAAGAGAGGCAUCGUCUCUACGUUUGGAGCUUGCCUCACUGGCGAGUCGACCUUCCCCCAAGCUACGAGCUGCAAGCUCGCCUCCUCCAUAGCUCUACCGCCUGGUUACCUCUUUGCUUCUUCGUCCUCCAGCAGUUCAGGUUCGGUCGCCGCCAUUACCACAUCGCACUCCGCGGUAGCCGCCAUCUUACCGCCGGGACCAAAGAGCCGGGUGGGAGGCCGGCGGUGAAGAGCACUUCCGGUUGGAGCAUCGAGCCUCUCGGCGGCACCGCGCCCAGAGGGACUCCCUCGAGCCCGUCUACCAACGAGAGGCUCCGCUUGGGGCCAGAGCGGCCG